rnacentral:rRNA from 1 species
UACAGAGGGGGCGAGCGUUGUUCGGAAUUACUGGGCGUAAAGGGCGCGUAGGCGGCCCGCUAAGUCGAACGUGAAAUCCCCAGGCUCAACCUGGGAACUGCGUCCGAUACUGGCAGGCUUGAAUCCGGGAGAGGGAUGUGGAAUUCCAGGUGUAGCGGUGAAAUGCGUAGAUAUCUGGAGGAACACCGGUGGCGAAGGCGGCUCACUGGACCGGAACUGACGCUGAGGCGCGAAAGCGUGGGGAGCAAACGGG